rnacentral:rRNA from 1 species
GACGAACGCUGGCGGCGUGCUUAACACAUGCAAGUCGAACGGAAAGGCCUCUUUCGGGGGGUACUCGAGUGGCGAACGGGUGAGUAACACGUGAGUAGCCUGCCCUUGACUUUGGGAUAACUUCAGGAAACUGGGGCUAAUACCGGAUAGGAGCUCCUGCUGCAUGGUGGGGGUUGGAAAGUUUCGGCGGUUGGGGAUGGACUCGCGGCUUAUCAGCUUGUUGGUGGGGUAGUGGCUUACCAAGGCUUUGACGGGUAGCCGGCCUGAGAGGGUGACCGGCCACAUUGGGACUGAGAUACGGCCCAGACUCCUACGGGAGGCAGCAGUGGGGAAUAUUGCACAAUGGGUGGAAGCCUGAUGCAGCAACGCCGUGUGCGGGAGGACGGCCUUCGGGUUGGAAACCGCUUUCGCUCAUGACGAAGCUUUGUGUGACGGUAGUGGGUAAAGAAGCACCGGCUAACUACGUG